GAGGAGCUUGCUCUUCUUGGAUGAGUUGCGAACGGGUGAGUAACGCGUAGGUAACCUGCCUUGUAGCGGGGGAUAACUAUUGGAAACGAUAGCUAAUACCGCAUAACAAUGGAUGACCCAUGUCAUUUAUUUGAAAGGGGCAAAUGCUCCACUACAAGAUGGACCUGCGUUGUAUUAGCUAGUAGGUGAGGUAACGGCUCACCUAGGCGACGAUACAUAGCCGACCUGAGAGGGUGAUCGGCCACACUGGGACUGAGACACGGCCCAGACUCCUACGGGAGGCAGCAGUAGGGAAUCUUCGGCAAUGGGGGCAACCCUGACCGAGCAACGCCGCGUGAGUGAAGAAGGUUUUCGGAUCGUAAAGCUCUGUUGUAAGUCAAGAACGAGUGUGAGAGUGGAAAGUUCACACUGUGACGGUAGCUUACCAGAAAGGGACGGCUAACUACGUGCCAGCAGCCGCGGUAAUACGUAGGUCCCGAGCGUUGUCCGGAUUUAUUGGGCGUAAAGCGAGCGCAGGCGGUUUGAUAAGUCUGAAGUUAAAGGCUGUGGCUCAACCAUAGUUCGCUUUGGAAACUGUCAAACUUGAGUGCAGAAGGGGAGAGUGGAAUUCCAUGUGUAGCGGUGAAAUGCGUAGAUAUAUGGAGGAACACCGGUGGCGAAAGCGCCUCUCUGGUCUGUAACUGACGCUGAGGCUCGAAAAGCGUGGGAGCGAACAGGA
rnacentral:rRNA from 1 species